GGACAGUGCUCCCUCUUGCUGGAACAUUCUGAGAAGCCUUAGGAAAUGCAUCUCUGAACUGUCCACCAGGGGAGAUGGAACGUUUACCCACCAGCCUGUGUCCCUGCCAGUAGAGGUGGCCCCACAGGUGUUAACUCCCCUGUGUCCGGACUGUGCAUCUGUGAGUCCCUCUGCUGCUUCAGAGAAGGAGUUCCAAGCGCUGGGAGGUGACCCUUGCAAGAUGUUGCCGGAGGUCUGUGUAGAAUUGGUCCCUGCAGCAGCGGCUGGAGAAGGAUCAAGGAGAAAGGAAGAGGACAAAAAGGCCACCUGAACCAGCUGUCCAUCUCCACUUCAAGGCAGAGAGGAGGAUUGGGGGGCAGGAAUGGGGAGCAUCGCCCCCUGCCAAGGCUGAGUCUCUGGUCAGCUUUCUGCAGUCUUGGCCUGCACUCCUCAAUCUGCGACCCACCGCAGGCUCCUCCCCUGCAGGAAGGCUGCCCAGCCGCCCUGUCAUGUCACAGCAGUGUGGAGCUGGGAGGGGCCUUGGAGCCUGGGCUCCUACUCAUCAUGACAGCCAAUGCUCACAGCUAGCUGUGAAUGCACACCUACUAUGUGCCUGCAUCUCCUCCUCCUCCUCAUGACAU
rnacentral:lncRNA from 1 species